rnacentral:rRNA from 1 species
GAUAUUUUAAUGGCCGCGGUAUUUUGACCGUGCAAAGGUAGCAUAAUCAUUAGUCUAUUAAUUGUUGACUUGAAUGAAUGGUUGGACGAAAUAAUAACUGUCUCAAUAUUAUUAUUAGAAUUUAAAUUUUUAGUUAAAAUGCUUAAAUUAUUUUAUAGGACGAGAAGACCCUAUAGAUCUUUAUUGUUUAAUUUAUUAUUUGAUUAGUUAAUAUUUAUUUUAUUAAAUUAAAUUAUUUUGUUGGGGUGAUGUGGAGAAUAUAAUAUAACUCUUUAUUUUUAUUUUCAUUUAUUUUUGUUUAUUUGACCUUUUAUUAUUGUUAUAAGAUUAAGAUACCUUAGGGAUAACAGCGUAAUUUUUCUUGAGAGUUCAUAUUGACAGAUAAGAUUGCGACCUCGAUGUUGGAUUAAGAUUAUAAUUAGGUGUAGAUGUUUAAUUAUUAGGUCUGUUCGACCUUUAAAUUCUUACAUGAUCUGAGUUCAAA